UGGGGAAUAUUGGACAAUGGGCGCAAGCCUGAUCCAGCAAUGCCGCGUGUGUGAAGAAGGCCUUCGGGUUGUAAAGCACUUUUAUCAGGAGCGAAACGCUGUCGGCUAAUACCCGGCGGAACUGACGGUACCUGAGGAAUAAGCACCGGCUAACUUCGUGCCAGCAGCCGCGGUAAUACGAAGGGUGCAAGCGUUAAUCGGAAUUACUGGGCGUAAAGCGUGCGUAGGCGGUUUCUUAAGUCUGCUGUGAAAUCCCCGGGCUCAACCUGGGAAUGGCAGUGGAUACUGGGAGGCUAGAGUGUGUCAGAGGGUGGUGGAAUUCCCGGUGUAGCGGUGAAAUGCGUAGAGAUCGGGAGGAACAUCAGUGGCGAAGGCGGCCACCUGGGACAACACUGACGCUGAGGCACGAAAGCGUGGGGAGCAAACAGGAUUAGAUACCCUGGUAGUCCACGCCCUAAAGUGAUGCGAACUGGAUGUUGGUCUCAACUCGGAGAUCAGUGUCGAAGCUAACGCGUUAAGUUCGCCGCCUGGGGAGUACGG
rnacentral:rRNA from 1 species